rnacentral:rRNA from 1 species
UUUGAUCCUGGCUCAGGACGAACGCUGGCGGCGUGCUUAACACAUGCAAGUCGAACGAUGAAGCCCUUCGGGGUGGAUUAGUGGCGAACGGGUGAGUAACACGUGGGCAAUCUGCCCUUCACUCUGGGACAAGCCCUGGAAACGGGGUCUAAUACCGGAUAACACUCUGUCCCGCAUGGGACGGGGUUAAAAGCUCCGGCGGUGAAGGAUGAGCCCGCGGCCUAUCAGCUUGUUGGUGGGGUAAUGGCCUACCAAGGCGACGACGGGUAGCCGGCCUGAGAGGGCGACCGGCCACACUGGGACUGAGACACGGCCCAGACUCCUACGGGAGGCAGCAGUGGGGAAUAUUGCACAAUGGGCGAAAGCCUGAUGCAGCGACGCCGCGUGAGGGAUGACGGCCUUCGGGUUGUAAACCUCUUUCAGCAGGGAAGAAGCGAAAGUGACGGUACCUGCAGAAGAAGCGCCGGCUAACUACGUGCCAGCAGCCGCGGUAAUACGUAGGGCGCAAGCGUUGUCCGGAAUUAUUGGGCGUAAAGAGCUCGUAGGCGGCUUGUCACGUCGGAUGUGAAAGCCCGGGGCUUAACCCCGGGUCGCCAUUCGAUACGGGCUAGCUAGAGUGUGGUAGGGGAGAUCGGAAUUCCUGGUGUAGCGGUGAAAUGCGCAGAUAUCAGGAGGAACACCGGUGGCGAAGGCGGAUCUCUGGGCCAUUACUGACGCUGAGGAGCGAAACUGUGGGGAGCGAACAGGAUUAGAUACCCUGGUAGUCCACGCCGUAAACGUUGGGAACUAGGUGUUGGCGACAUUCCACGUCGUCGGUGCCGCAGCUAACGCAUUAAGUUCCCCGCCUGGGGAGUACGGCCGCNAGG